rnacentral:rRNA from 1 species
CGUGUAGGCGGACUCGCAAGUCGGUUGUGAAAUCCCUGGGCUUAACCUAGGAACUGCAUCCGUAACUGCUUGUCUUGAGUAAUGGAGGGGGUGGCGGAAUUCCCGGUGUAGAGGUGAAAUUCGUAGAUAUCGGGAGGAACAUCAGUGGCGAAGGCGGCCACCUGGACAUUUACUGACGCUGAGACGCGAAAGCGUGGGGAGCAAACAGGAUUAGAUACCCUGGUAGUCC